rnacentral:tRNA from 1 species
GCAGUGGUGGUUCAGUGGUAGAAUUCUCACCUUCCAUGUGGGAGACCUUGGUUCGAUCCCCAGCCAGUGUA